rnacentral:misc_RNA from 1 species
UCUCCGUAGGUGAACCUGCGGAGGGAUCAUUAACGAGCUCAUACACUAUAGUAUUGAGCCUGCACCCUGUGUUAUUAUUAACCUUGUAAAAUAAACGGGAAGACGCGCACCGGCCUCGCUACGGGCUCCGGCUGGUUAGUGUCCGCCAGAGGACCCCAAACCCUGAAUGUCAGUUUUGUCUGAGUACUAUAUAAUAGUUAAAACUUUCAACAACGGAUCUCUUGGUUCUGGCCUCGGUGUAUAACGCAGCAGAUUGGAAGAACACAGGUCUGAACUCCA